GCAUUAUACAUCUUUACUCUCAAAAUAAAAAAGCACAAAGAAAGACAUAAAAAUAAACCCUCACAUUUAUAUAAGUAAAACCUAUUGUACACAGUUAUAUCAGGGAGAAAUGCAUUCACCCAAAUAUAGGAGACAAGACAUGGCCAAAUCGACAGGUCCGAUCAGUGCUGUAGUGCAUCAAGUGACAAAGUGCUUUGAAGACACAGAGUAAAGAGACAGAUAGUAUUUUGCAAGAGGAUGGAUGUGGUGCAAUGAUUUAUAAUUGCAAUGUAGUUGAUUGAAAAUUGUCAUGAGUUUGUUUGUUUUUUCUGAGGUUGUUUUUAAAUGUGCUAUAUAAAUAAACUUGAAUUGAAACUUGAAUUGAAUGAGUUUGGAUAAUACAGGCAGAUUACAACAUUAGAGAACUCAAUAGGAAUACAUCGCAAUAAUAUUAGGAUUUUGGCAAGUGUCAGAGAUCAUUUUAUUCGAUUGUAUUGUUAAGAAGUACCUUGUUACAAUUUUGGUUCAUUUUAUUUACACAUUGAUUUAGAUCUUGAGUAAUAAAUAUACAAUUUCGCUUCUUUAGUAGUGCUGGGAUACAAUUCCCACAAGACGAGACACGAGACUAAGUCCACAAUCUCAUCCCAUCCCAAUUCUUCAGCCAUGUCAAAGUGGCAUUUCCAAAUAAUUCCAUACCAUUAAUAUUCUCACAAUUGCCAAUUUUGGAUAUAAGGUGUUUUUCUGUACAACCCUUUAGUCCACACACGUAAACCAGCAAAGCUUCACUCUGCACUUGUAAAUUGAGCAUUUCCUGAUUGAAGGAUUGUGCAUGCACGCAGACAAGACAAAGACAUUGUACAUUUUUUGGAAAAGAAAGUAGACAAGAAAUUGAACAUAUAUUGAAGUUUACCAGAAGAUACUUUGGAGUGGGUGUAUGGCUUAAUAUUUGUAAUUAGCUGCAACUAAAUAGCACUGUUUGAUUGAUAAUGUUUGUGCUAACAAGGAGUGUGCAUGAUUGACAGAUGUACUUUCACUUGGCCAUACAGAGCUCAUAUCCAUCUUCAACUCAGAGAAGUAAAUUAAUAUACAGUUUGCAGCAACUGACACUGUUCUGGAGUGUUACAAAAUAAAAUGAAAAUCUAUAAUAUUUUUGCAUCUAGCUCAUUCAAAACUAGCUUUGACUUUAUUUACUCUGAUACAAAUAUAACCUCUCAUGAUUAUAACAUACAGUAUGAUACAGGCCUGCAGACAAUCACGUCUACAGGGAUUUUUGUUCUCUAUUUUCAGUGUAAUCCUAUGGCAAUGUGUUUAUGACUGCAACUAACAACCACAAUUAUGCACAUACAGUAUUAUUUAGUGUGGACUAAUCAAGUAAAUGAACUGAAACUGUCCAUCAGAAUAAGCCUAUCCUAUGAAAGAGGUGUUGUAGUGGUCCCAUUAUGUAAUUUAUGCUCUUCAGUCUAUCCCAAGAAUCUCCCAUUGACAAGACAAUCAGAGUAGGUAGAUGUAUUUUGUCUUUGUAUAAUUUCUCCACAAGACUUUCAUAUAAAAAGGCACCAUGCACAUUUAUUUUGACCUCAGCAGGACCAGAGCGUAAAGUAAAAUACAUGAGCAGCAGAAUAGUUACCCCUCUUGGAUCCCGGGUCAAACUUUUAAGGCUUUGUUUUUGUUUUUUGUUUUUUU
ensembl:lncRNA